UACGUAGGGGGCUAGCGUUGUCCGGAAUCAUUGGGCGUAAAGCGCGUGUAGGCGGUCCGGUAAGUCCGCUGUGAAAGUCCGGGGCUCAACCCCGGAAGGCGGGUGGAUACUGUCAGACUAGAGUGCGGAAGAGGCGAGUGGAAUUCCCGGUGUAGCGGUGAAAUGCGCAGAUAUCGGGAGGAACACCAAUUGCGAAGGCAGCUCGCUGGGACGUAGCUGACGCUGAGACGCGAAAGCGUGGGGAGCAAACAGG
rnacentral:rRNA from 1 species